rnacentral:rRNA from 1 species
GUGGGGAAUAUUGGACAAUGUGGGGAACCCUGAUCCAGCCAUGCCGCGUGUGUGAAGAAGGCCUUUUGGUUGUAAAGCACUUUAAGCGAGGAGGAGGCUACCGAGAUUAAUACUCUUGGAUAGUGGACGUUACUCGCAGAAUAAGCACCGGCUAACUCUGUGCCAGCAGCCGCGGUAAUACAGAGGGUGCAAGCGUUAAUCGGAUUUACUGGGCGUAAAGCGCGCGUAGGUGGCCAAUUAAGUCAAAUGUGAAAUCCCCGAGCUUAACUUGGGAAUUGCAUUCGAUACUGGUUGGCUAGAGUAUGGGAGAGGAUGGUAGAAUUCCAGGUGUAGCGGUGAAAUGCGUAGAGAUCUGGAGGAAUACCGAUGGCGAAGGCAGCCAUCUGGCCUAAUACUGACACUGAGGUGCGAAAGCAUGGGGAGCAAACAGGAUUAGAUACUCCGGUAGUCC